rnacentral:rRNA from 1 species
GUCGAGCGGAUGAAGGGAGCUUGCUCCUGGAUUCAGCGGCGGACGGGUGAGUAAUGCCUAGGAAUCUGCCUGGUAGUGGGGGACAACGUUUCGAAAGGAACGCUAAUACCGCAUACGUCCUACGGGAGAAAGCAGGGGACCUUCGGGCCUUGCGCUAUCAGAUGAGCCUAGGUCGGAUUAGCUAGUUGGUGAGGUAAUGGCUCACCAAGGCGACGAUCCGUAACUGGUCUGAGAGGAUGAUCAGUCACACUGGAACUGAGACACGGUCCAGACUCCUACGGGAGGCAGCAGUGGGGAAUAUUGGACAAUGGGCGAAAGCCUGAUCCAGCCAUGCCGCGUGUGUGAAGAAGGUCUUCGGAUUGUAAAGCACUUUAAGUUGGGAGGAAGGGUUGUAGAUUAAUACUCUGCAAUUUUGACGUUACCGACAGAAUAAGCACCGGCUAACUCUGUGCCAGCAGCCGCGGUAAUACAGAGGGUGCAAGCGUUAAUCGGAAUUACUGGGCGUAAAGCGCGCGUAGGUGGUUCGUUAAGUUGGAUGUGAAAUCCCCGGGCUCAACCUGGGAACUGCAUCCAAAACUGGCGAGCUAGAGUAUGGUAGAGGGUGGUGGAAUUUCCUGUGUAGCGGUGAAAUGCGUAGAUAUAGGAAGGAACACCAGUGGCGAAGGCGACCACCUGGACUGAUACUGACACUGAGGUGCGAAAGCGUGGGGAG